rnacentral:rRNA from 1 species
UAGCUCCUGAAGUCAAGCAAGGUCACCCGCUGAACUUAAGCAUAUCAGUAGCG